rnacentral:rRNA from 1 species
UACGUAUGGUGCGAGCGUUAAUCGGAAUUACUGGGCGUAAAGCGUGCGCAGGCGGCGCGUUAAGACAGGUGUGAAAGCCCCGAGCUUAACUUGGGAAUUGCGCUUGUGACUGGCGUGCUGGAGUGUGGCAGAGGGAGGUGGAAUUCCACGUGUAGCAGUGAAAUGCGUAGAGAUGUGGAGGAACACCGAUGGCGAAGGCAGCCUCCUGGGCCAGCACUGACGCUCAUGCACGAAAGCGUGGGGAGCAAACAGG